AAGCGGAGGAAAAGAAACCAACAGGGAUUGCCCCAGUAACGGCGAGUGAAGCGGCAACAGCUCAAAUUUGAAAUCUGGCCCCUAGGGCCCGAGUUGUAAUUUGCAGAGGAUGCUUUUGGCGAGGUGCCUUCCGAGUUCCCUGGAACGGGACGCCAUAGAGGGUGAGAGCCCCGUCUGGUUGGAUACCGAGCCUCUGUAAAGCUCCUUCGACGAGUCGAGUAGUUUGGGAAUGCUGCUCUAAAUGGGAGGUAUAUGUCUUCUAAAGCUAAAUAUUGGCCAGAGACCGAUAGCGCACAAGUAGAGUGAUCGAAAGAUGAAAAGCACUUUGAAAAGAGGGUUAAAAAGUACGUGAAAUUGUUGAAAGGGAAGCGCUCAUGACCAGACUUGGGCCCGGUGAAUCACCCAGCGUUCUCGCUGGGGCACUUUGCCGGGCUCAGGCCAGCAUCAGUUCGCGUCGGGGGACAAAGACUUCGGGAAUGUGGCUCCUCCGGGAGUGUUAUAGCCCGUUGUGCAAUACCCUGGGGCGGACUGAGGUUCGCGCAUCUGCAAGGAUGCUGGCGUAAUGGUCAUCAGCGACCCGUCUUGAAACACGGACCAAGGAGUCGUCUUCGUAUGCGAGUGUUCGGGUGCAAAGCCCCUACGCGUAAUGAAAGUGAACGCAGGUGAGAGCUUCGGCGCAUCAUCGACCGAUCCUGAUGUUCUCGGAUGGAUUUGAGUAAGAGCAUACGGGGCCGGACCCGAAAGAAGGUGAACUAUGCUUGAAUAGGGUGAAGCCAGGGGAAACCCUGGUGGAGGCUCGCAGCGGUUCUGACGUGCAAAUCGAUCGUCAAAUUUGAGCAUGGGGGCGAAAGACUAAUCGAACCUUCUAGUAGCUGGUUUCCGCCGAAGUUUCCCUCAGGAUAGCAGUGUUGAUCUCAGUUUUAUGAGGUAAAGCGAAUGAUUAGGGACCCGGGGGCUAUAUAUUGCCUUCAUCCAUUCUCAAACUUUAAAUAUGUAAGAAGCCCUUGUUACUUAACUGAACGUGGGCAUUCGAAUGUAUCAGCACUAGUGGGCCAUUUUUGGUAAGCAGAACUGGCGAUGCGGGAUGAACCGAACGCGAGGUUAAGGUGCCAGAGUAGACGCUCAUCAGACACCACAAAAGGUGUUAGUACAUCUUGACAGCAGGACGGUGGCCAUGGAAGUCGGAAUCCGCUAAGGACUGUGUAACAACUCACCUGCCGAAUGUACUAGCCCUGAAAAUGGAUGGCGCUCAAGCGUCUCACCCAUACCUCGCCCUCAGGGUAGAAACGAAGCCCUGAGGAGUAGGCGGACGUGGAGGU
rnacentral:rRNA from 1 species